GAAGUGCCUUUCGGGGAGCCCGGUGACAGGUGCUGCAUGGCUGUCGUCAGCUCGUGUCGUGAGAUGUUGGGUUUAAGUCCCGCAACGAGCGCAACCCCUAUCUUUAAUUGCCAUCAUUCAGUUGGGCACUUUAGAGAGACUGCCGGUGUUAAGCCGGAGGAAGGUGGGGAUGACGUCAAGUCCUCAUGGCCUUUAUGUCUAGGGCUACACACGUGCUACAAUGGGUGGUACAAAGAGCAGCUAACUCGCGAGAGUAUGCAAAUCUCAAAAAGCCAUCCUCAGUUCGGAUUGGAGUCUGCAACUCGACUCCAUGAAGUUGGAAUCGCUAGUAAUCGCGGAUCAGCAUGCCGCGGUCGAAUACGUUCCCGGGCCUU
rnacentral:rRNA from 1 species